rnacentral:lncRNA from 1 species
AGGAAGGAAGGAAGGAAGGAAGGAAGGAAGGAAGGAAGGAAGGAAGGAAGGAAGGAAGAGAAAAUCAAGAAAAAAAAGAAAAGAAGGAAGGAAGGUCAAAUGGCCACUCAGGGAUUUUGUUUUCUGUGCACACAUAAGCCAUAGCUGCCGUCCACAUGGCUGGAUCAGAGACUCUGAAGUCAAUUCUGUUCCAUGGGAAAGAGAGACCCUUGCCUGAAGCUCACUGCUGCUGCAGAGCAAUGACCAGUGUAAAAUAUGUAUAUGUUUAUCUUUAUUUUUAUAAUAUGAAAAUACAUUUAAAUUUAUACAGUUGAAAGCUUUUAGCAUUAGUUCACACUGGGUGCAAUAUUCUGCAUGAGAACCGUGCCAAUUUGGGGCUGGUUUCUUGUUUUCCUUCAUGGUUGGGGUCUCUUUCCUGCUCUCGACUUCCUGGUUUUCCCAUCCCCUCACCUGCUCACCUGCAGCCAGGUGGUUUGUGAGGGGAUUCGAGGUCCAUUCUGUUCAUUCUUUGCUGCUAGCCUCUCACCAUGAAAUCGGACAGGAGUAGUCCUGGGCCCCUUCCCGCUGCCACUGUGCAGGAUAUGUAUAAGCCCGCCAGCCCAUGUCCCCUCCGUAGCGGGAGAGCCGGCCAGAUCCACCCUUCUCCGUGGGAGGGGACGUCCUCCGGGAGUCUCCCCUUGCAGUCUGCCCCCAGCCUGGACCUAGCUAUGGGCCCUUCCAAAGCUGGCAUUCUGGGGGCCCGGCAUCCCUCAGAGCCACACUAGAGAAGGCCAUGUAGAGAUGAAAACAUCGGCCCUUCAUGGGGAUUGAGCCUUGGCUCCCAAGGCUUCAACAGCUGGAGGAUACGGACCCCCAAAUGCUGAAAUUCCUCCUGCCGGGCAGGGUCGGGGAGAGCCUUGCUUCCCAGCAGAGGCGCAGCAGGUGUGCUUGCAGACCCCCAUCGCGCCCGCCCCCACAGCUGUUAAUUCACUCACUGAGGUGACCAUUAGGAGAAAUGGCUGCUCGAUGGACCCGCCCCCAUUUCACUGCCCGCAGAGCCCGGCUGAGAAAUCUUACUGCCACCAAAUCGGCUCAGGGACAAUAAAGGUGUCCUAAUGUCCCAGUCUAUCCUGACUUCUCAAGAGCCAGGCACCCUCCAAUCAUUGCAUGAAUGUCCGCCCAGAGGCAUCGGAAAGUAAGCACCCCGGGCGUUUGGGUUUUCCUGCCCGGGAGCGGCAUCCCCUGGGGCUGUGAUUAAAAAAUAAGACUCUGCUAGGCGGUUUUCUGCAGAGCUCCCAGAAACCGCUCUGGCAUUAUGUGGCCAACGGUCCCCAUCCACGGAGCCCGCGUUCGGGGUAGGGAUGGUGGUGGGCUGCCUCAGUUAUGUGAUGAUGGGGAAUGGACCUCUCUCUCUAUCAGGAAUAAAGGGAUUAAGAGGAGGAGGAGGUCAGACCACGGGCCAGCUGGUGGUCAUCUGUUAGUCCUAAAAAAAGGUAUUGCCCCCUGAAUGCCAGUGGCCUUUACAAGUUCCGCAUCCCUCUGUAAGGCACAGUGGGGGUGGAGGGCUGGAGUCCUCCGCCGGGAGGCCGGCCUCUCUACCCGAGGCCGGCCGGGCCGAGCGGGCGGACGUGCCAAAUGUUCCCGGCCACGAGAACCCGGUUGGACCCGUUUCUCUGUCUCCCUCGUGCUCUCGAAUACUUGAAUAUGCUGGGCGGCUCCGGCCGGAGGCUCCGGGAGCCCGCGAGUGUCCCCGUUUCUCUGUGUAUGUGUGUACAGUGUAAGCAGGCCGGUGCCGUGUCCGUGGUUCUGCGGCCCACCUGUCGGACGCGGGGCGGGUGGGCGCCCUAGGUGUGUGUAUCCGUAUCUAUGCAUAUAGGUCUCUCUCCUUUGUAGCUCGGCAUGAAACAGUGCGGUCCGUCCUAGCCAGAGCGGCCCGGCCCUCCUGCGGAGAUGGCCGAGGGCCCGCCGUGGGCACGAGUCACCCGGAUGCCCGUCUCCUCGUGCGUCCUUGUGGUAGUGUGGAAUGUGUGACGUGUGCUCUCGAGGAACCCCGGGGGGGGGGGGGGGGCAGAGGUGGACCCCCCCUCCCAGCCCGAUCCGCUGGAGAGCCUGCUUCGUCCGAGCAGGGGAGCCAAGCCCGGAUGUCCUGAAAACACUUUCUGCCAUGCAGGAAUAUUUGCCACCGACGCGGGGAAUUCCGCAUCCUCCUCCCACGCAGGGAAAGGACUGACCCGGCGCCAGGGGAGGCUGGAUCGGCAUUUCGGGAACGUGGAGGGACGAAGCGACACAAAGCACAAGAGGGGCUCCCGGCCUCCUGGACCCCUCUCGGGACUCAGAGGAGCUGCCCAGAGCGGUGACGACGGCUCGAGUCCGCGUCCAGGCAGCUGCUAGGACUGAACAGGGCUGCCCACAUACGUCCGACCGUUCACACCUGACGCUUGGGCGAUAGACUCUCCUAAAGAUGAGCAAGGGCCGGCUGGCUUUGGUGGACCCUCCGGUGGGUUUUUCUCAUGCCACAGUUUGUGAAAUGUAAUUGCAGUUGACUGUCAAAUCGUCUUAAAUGGGCAGAAUUUAAAAAAAUAAAAAUUCUUGCCCUGGAAAAUUUAAAUAAAAGGAAAAGGAAAUUGUGUUGUGUUGUGUAGAUAAUUUGCUCCUGACAGUUUGGCGCCAUGCUG